GGAUAUUGCACAAUGGGGGAAACCCUGAUGCAGCGACGCCGCGUGAGGGAUGACGGCCUUCGGGUUGUAAACCUCUUUCAGUUGGGACGAAGCCCCUUUGGGGGUGACGGUACCUUCAGAAGAAGCACCGGCUAACUACGUGCCAGCAGCCGCGGUAAUACGUAGGGUGCGAGCGUUAUCCGGAAUUAUUGGGCGUAAAGAGCUCGUAGGCGGUUUGUCACGUCUGCUGUGAAAGCCCAGGGCUUAACCCUGGGUUUGCAGUGGGUACGGGCAGGCUAGAGUGCAGUAGGGGAGACUGGAAUUCCUGGUGUAGCGGUGAAAUGCGCAGAUAUCAGGAGGAACACCGAUGGCGAAGGCAGGUCUCUGGGCUGUUACUGACGCUGAGGAGCGAAAGCAUGGGGAGCGAAC
rnacentral:rRNA from 1 species